GCCCGGCUAGUUCAGUUGGUAGAGCAUGAGACUCUUAAUCUCAGGGUAGUGGGUUCGAGUCCCACGUUGGGCA
rnacentral:tRNA from 1 species